AAACCCUAAACACUCCUUGAGUGCUAUUUUUGUGACUUUUGGCCUUGAAUGCUAGUUUGAGAACAAAAAUUUGAUUUAGUGCUAUUUUGGUUUUUUUUUCAUAAAUUUUGGAUAUAUGUAAUUUUGUCUGCCAUUUUAAAAUCAAAUUAAUAAAUAUAUAGUUUUUAAAAAAAAGUAACAAACAUGUUUUAUUAAAGAGGUUAAGACAUAAGUGUUAUUUGUGUCGUCGAGAACGCAAGUGUUUAUUACAUUUGGUUUUCGGAAUUUUCAAAGUAUAUAGUAAAUUCUUUAUUUGGCUGUAUUGACCUAUUUUACAAAAACAAAAACAAAUCCCAUAACAUUACUAUUACCUUCUAUUGGUUAGUAGUAAAACUAGUAACAAAUAAUAUCCGAAGACUGAAGCUGGACCCAUGACGAACGCGUUACUCACGCGCUCUGUAGAGACUAGAGAUGCUGUGAUAGUCGAAGAGUCAAUGACAUCUUUAGUCAACUAUUGAAACUCACUCGAACGUCACUAAAAUAUUUCCAUACUAAACAUUACGACACUAAAAUAUUUACCGUAGCAGCUUUAUUCUGUGUUUUGCAAGAUGAUUCUUGUAUGUAGUUCUUUUGCAUGAGAUGGAUUGCAGGGCAAAUCUCCUUUGGCAGCAAAGUGUUUCUUUCAUACAUAUAUAUCAGGCAAAACUAAUAUUCAAAUGAUAUAUAUAUGUAGUGGAAAUUAUCUUCCAAUGGAGUAUUUGCCCUGUAACCCAACCAUGCAUCUUCUUUCAAACUAUUGAUCAUUCUAUACUUUUAUUUCAAAUAAUUUUGAGUAAUAGCUUAAGUUCAACCAUUGCAAUAGUACUAUAUAUAGAGUGUGUGUGGUUUCAUUUCAUGCACGUAUGUCUUAGAUAUUAGCAUAUUCGGUGGCACAUCCCAUGUUUCAUAGAGCACAUAUGUAUGCAAGUAUCCUAAACGCAAUUUAACGGGACCUUCUCCUUGUACGUCAACUCCAGCUCGGAACUUCGUACAAAAUAUGUUAGCAAUGUGUCACAAUAACUAUUUUAGCUACAUUUUGUGCUUCUGUCAAUCCGUCAGACCAUACACAUAUAACACAGACCAGUAACCACAAGCGCACGGCGUUGUUUGAUAAUUUUUAUAUUUAUUAUAUAAUAUUAUGAUUUUUGAUAUUUUAUAAUUAUAUAAGAUGUAAAUAUUAUUAAUUUAUUAUUUAACCGCUGUUGUAUUUGGUAGUUAAUCAGUCAUAAGUAUCCUGCAAAAUCACCAAUUUCUAACCGUAGAACCAAUCAUACAAAUUUUUUAAAAUCGUUAGAAACCGCACCACCUGCAUCUAUAAAUUCUCGUAACCGCAACCGUCGUGUUUGAACCAGGCCUUUAGUAUUUUGUUUUUCUGCAUGAGUGUUCUAAUCUUCGGUAUACUUGGAUAUCCUCGAGAAUAUCCUGUACGUACCUGCUACGAAGAACUUUCUGUCGAGUCAUUGUUCAAACAAAAUCUCAAAUCUUAAAAAGUGAUACGCGAAUAUGAUACAAAGUAUGCCAGUUUUAUUAGGCCUAACUUCUUUUCUAUAAGAAAAAACUAACGUAAUGACUCCAUAUAUAUAAAGUCAAGUACUUUUAUUAAUGUACACUUGAUGUUGUAAAAUUCGAACUUCAGCCUUUUGGAAGUUUAUUUUUUGGUCUUUUCUUUUUUCUUUGAAACACUUUUUUUUUUGAAACACCAUUUUUUGGUCUUUCCAAAGUUAAAUAUCUCUAUUGAGUGGCAGAACAUAUAUAUGUAUAAAAUAUUCUAAUUGCGUAGAUAAAUUGCAGUUUCGAGGUUCUGCAUUUUAUACGUCUUCGUGUUGAAGCUUAAUAUGUUUUUUCUUUUGAAAGCUGGUUGGAAGCUUAAUAUAUGUUACAAGAACAUUCCUAAGGAUCUUCCGUUUCAAGAAUCACUUUUUAUUUUAUAUAGCUAAUUAUUUACCACCCUUUUUCCUUUUCCACAUGUAGCGUUAUUUUGUUUUCUUAGCAUUACUUUGUAUAAAAUUUAUAAACAAGUACGUCUCAAACCCAUUUUAUUAAGUCUGAAUCAUCCCAAUUAUUAGUUUUAUAUUUAAUAUAUACUAUCAUUUUUAAUAUGAGUUAGUCUUUCAAAUAAGCCAAAAGAAGAAGAAUAAUAAGGUUGGGAGUUCUAAAUAUAACAAAUGGUAUAUGUUAUAUAGUGGAAUAAAAACUAGAGCUUUAAUGUCUGUAAGACUAUAAUUUUAUUGGUUCACAAUGUUUUACAACAAGUUCCACCACAUGCUAUGUAAUAUAAAUUGGUAUUGACUCUUUAGGUGAGAACCUAGAGAUGAUUAUUUUUAAUUUGUUGCGUUUAUAGAGAAGAUGUCCCCAAGGAUUCGGAUACCGUAAAAAAAAAAGUGGUGAUGCACUUUAUUUUAGGAAUGUCUAAUUAAGCACAAUUCGUGUGGUAGGGAAGAUUAUUCCUUAGAAAUUAUACGGAGAAGAGACCAUUCUCAGACGAAAACCUCAGUCUUAUUUACAAUGCAGUAUAUAGCAUUGUACCGUGGAAUAUGCUUGUAUUCAAAAUUGUAUAUAUACUAACAUAACAUUUGUAGGUUACAAAUGUAAAGAGGUGAGAUAUAUCAAAGGUGGAAAUGCAUUACAGGGCAAGAUCUCUAUUGGCAGGAAACCAUUACUUAGAUCUUUGCAUCUCUUUGUGCAUUGAUUUGUAGUGAGUUCUCUGCCAAAGGAGAUUUGCCCGGAGACAUUGUUGAAUCAAGGGAAAUUAGGUGAUAUUUUAUGCAUGGCGAUGUGGAGAUCAUCGCUUUGUCUUUUUUGAUAAACAAUAUCUCUUCGUAUUUGAAUCAAUGUAGAAGGUGGUAUUUUAUUUUACCUUUGGGAUAAAAUGUGAUAUUGGCUGCUCAUCACUUAAUUAUUAGUUAUGUAAUUACGUAAGUCUUAAACUUUGAAUCUAUGAUUUUGUUCACUUACUGAUUUACAGGUGGGUAAAUGCCACUUGUAGGUAGAUUUAAAUAGGAACCCCGAAUGGAAACAUAAUUAAGGGUAAAUCAGCUAAUGACCCAUACAUUUUAUAUGAAAAGAUAUGUUUUAUAAUACGGUUUAUGAUUUACAAACUUAAUUAUCUUGAAAUAAAAUUUACAUGAGAAGCGGUUAUAAAACGCUGUGCAAAGUAUAAUUCGUGUGUUAUUCAUUUCAUCUUCAUAUCUGAAUUCAUUCAGUAGUUCUUAGUAUAACUAGUAUAAUUCUGUAUAACAAUGUAUACCUAAUACAAUAAUAGUACACAAUAUUACAAAUAUAACUCAAUAUAAUUAGUAAAACUCAGUACAAGUAAUAUAUUUCGGUAUAUCAAACUCCUAAUACAAGUAUAAUUCAGUAUAACUAGUAAAACUCAUUAAAAUUACUAUAACUUUAUAUCUAACUCAUUAGUAAUACGCAAUACACAGUACAACUAAUAUAAUUCAAUAUAAUUAGUAAAACUCAGUAUAACUAACUUAGUAAUAACAAAAUAGAACUCAGUAUAACAACUUAAAAACUUAUAUAGUUUUGAAAUUCAGAAUUUUGAAAUUUGAAAUUUUGAAAUUUUAAAAAUAACUUUAUAAGAAAUAAAAACAAAAACUAGAAAAUGAUAAAAUCGAAUAUUCAUACUUCAUUAAAGUCACGAGGGUAUAGGAAAUUUGAUAGAUCCAUAGGAGAUUGUUGUUUGACAUAUGAGGGCAUGGAAGGAGAUGACUCUUUUAUAAUCGAACAUAUUCUGUGAUUUUCCUAUAAAUAACGAGAAAAAAUUUCUGCCGACGCCUCUUUCCAUGCUCGAUCUCUAAUUUUCUGAAAUAAAAAUCCAUUUCAAUCUCUUUUUGCUCGUUUUCUCCCAAAUAACUCCAAAAUACUUAUAAAUGCAAAUGACCUACUUGGACUCUCGGACAAAUGAUGCUCAAACAUGCAUAAACAUAUUCUAAAUGUUUAUAUAAUGCGGUGAAGCUAAAUGGAAAUGAACUCUAAGACAUGCAAAACCAUGUUAAAAGUCCUACAAACCUUAUAUACGGGGCUAGGCUAAACUAUCCAAACGCUGGCCCAUAUUCUAAGUAGACUGAAGUGCAACUUCUCACAUAUUAUUUAAAAAUAAUUUAAAUAGUUAGAAUAAAUAUUUUUAUUCAUUAUUUUAUUGAUUGUUAUUCUUUAUUCAGUUAUAUUCUCAUUACAAUUAACUAAAUUUUUCUUUACGAUUAAUAAGAUUGUUUAUUUGAUGGUGUAAAAUUGUUGAUUUAUUUGUUUAAUUUGAAGUUAUCUAGUUUUAUUCAUUCUUUUAUAUUAUUUUAUAUCGUGUGUUUCUUAUUCGACUAUAUAACUACAUAUUUUAUUUUUACACAGUUGUGGAUCUAUGUUUAUAAUGUUUAUAGUUUCUUUUAGAAUCUUUGACAUAAUCAUUUAAAAUACAUUCUAUGUUUGUUUAAUUAGAAUAACUUAACAUAUUUCUUCUAUAUAGAAAAAUUAUUCAUUUUUGUUUUUAUAUUUAUUUUUUUCUGUUUUAUUAUUUUUUUAACAAUUAUUUUUUAUUUUUUAUUAUCUAUUAAUUUUUUUAUCAUGGUCUUAUUUUCGUAGAAACUUUUUUUAAUCUAUUAUGUAUUACUACCUCUUAAAAUGGUUAUUAACUAAUCCUAAAAUUAAUAGUUGUGUACAUAUAAUAAGUCAAAUGGAUAGUUGUUUCCUUAAAAAGAUGGAGGAAUUAAUUGUUUUAUAUUCAACCAAAAUUCAAAAUAAAAUAAUUGUAUUAUUAUCAUAAAAAAACUAGUAGAUAAAUUAAUUAAUUAAAACUGCCACUUAUCUGAUAAACCGUACGCACAGAGGAAUAACGUUUUUUUUAUUUCUCAUUUUCUCCGAUCUUUGGAUCUAGGAUUUUGUUUGUCCAUUGUCCCUCUAUUUCUCGUCUUCUUCACUGUCACGGCUUGCAGAACUCCUCUGGUUUUGAGAGUUUUAGGGUCAUUUUUGUUUAGUUUAUAAAUCAUUUUUUGUUUAGUUUAUAGCUUGACAAUAUUGCGUGGACAACAUAUUUAUUUAGUUGAUGGAUUGCCAAUAUUACCAUAGAGAAUAUAAAUAUGCAAGGAAUAACAAAUUCGGACUUGUGUUUUUUUUUACGUACCAUUGAGAUAUGAACGUACUGCUUAUUAUGCAUCAUGUUCACUAUCAUUUGUAUUUUGAGGGGCCUCCUGCAUCAUGGUAAUCAAGUUUGGCUUGAGAAAUAUAGUGAGUGAUAUUGAAAGUUAAAUGUAGUCUGACAAUAUUUUGCUACCAAUGUACUUUAGUAAAUAGAUUUUUGUAUUAAUUUCAAAAAUGACACUUUCAUGUUCUUGUUUGGCUUUUUUGAUGAUGUUGGAACAACUUGCUUAGCGGCAUUUUAUGCUGUGGGAAAAGCUUAUUUAAAACUAAAUUACUGAUUGGUAUUCCCUUUAGUUGAAGUGAGUCUCUGGUUUCGUACAUAUGGGACAUGAUUGAAUUAUGAGCCUACGAUGAGCAGCACCCGACCGUCCUUCAUAAAUUCUCCCUGCGUUUGGUAUAAGUUACCAGGCUUAAAGUUAUGCAACUAAGUUAACCUUUUGAUUGCAUACCAAGAUAUGUACCAAUAUAAUGCCUCUUUCCUGUUGAAUUAAAUUAAACAGUCCACAUUUACUGAAAAAGAUCAGAAUCUACAAACGACAAAUAAAUAAAAUUAACUUAUUGACCUUGGUGACAAACUUAACUUGCCUAAUUGGACAGAUUGAGAUAUUAACUUAACUUGCAUAUUCAUGUAGUCAAUCCUAAAUACCUUACAAUCUAUUGCAUCUCACUGGCGUAUUGACCAGCUUCGACCUCACUUCCCAUAUGAGGUUCAGUUACAAUCUCGAGAAAAGGAGCUCUUUCUCUAUUCAGAUCUACCUGCACCAUAAGAGCAAUGAAACAUUAAGAAACAUAAGUUCUUUUGCAGGUUUUUUUAAACCCCAAAAAUCUAAAACCAAGAAUCUGAUUGCAUAUCAUCUUUGCUUGAACAUUGAUAAUACUGUUAACACAUAUAGUAUCCUAUCAAUUCUGGUCAUGUCAUCUUACAUGAAUGAGAAAUCAUGUAUUUGCAAUUUUAUGCUGCUACAGGAAGACAUGUGCACAAAAAUAAGCGAAAGUAGAAUGAACCAACAACUUGUUUUGUUUGUACUAUUGUCUGUUAUAUCUACAGAAAAAAAAUCAUAUUCAAACAUUCCGAGGACGGCUUUAGUGCUUCAUGCAAACAUUCCAAGAAAAAUCAUACUUCAAAACAACUCUCUCACAGUCUCACUAAUAGAGCACAUAGUAGAACGUGAAAUGUAAUAAGAGCAGGAAGGCGUUCAUCCCUUUCCAUUACCCUAAAUUUAAUUUUUAUAUAUACAAAAACAAAUCACCCUUUUCCAAAAUGACCAUCUGCUCUGAGAUAAUAAGGCCAGAUUAAUUAAGCAAGAAUGGUACAGAGGAAGAAGUUCAGAAGUGUUAGGUACUUAACUACUUGUUCGCCAUAUAGUAACAGCCUGGUUAUAAAUUGCAAGCAACAUGAAUACAGAAUCCGAGAAUUUGAGAGCAUGUUGCUGGUGUUUGUACUUAAGCCUCCGUGUAAGGUUCAGACAUCAACUCGCCACCACGAUUAACGUCCUUCCUUACCAGAAUCGGAGCAGUUGCACGGUGGAAGAACAAUGGCCAGCCUACAACUCAGAGAGAAACACAUGAAAUCACCAUUACACUGAAAAGUAAAUCUAUAUCGAGAGUAGUAACAAAUGUAAAGAUGAUGAUUAAUGGUAAAGGCCUCACCUCCAGAUGAAGUAGUUUAAUAGAAAGUGAAAUCAUGUUGUAGUGGGCAGGGAGAGUUAAAGCGCGGUUAGUGACGAUUCAUACAACCAUCGCAGCCAUGCUAUGAGCACACCCCUUCGUGGUGACUCAAUAUGCUGUUAUGGCCAUCAGUCGCCAUUACGAUGGCACCACUUCUCCACCGUGCUCCAACAACUUUGAUUAGACUCACCGUUGCCAUAGAUCAUAUCCAUAAUUGAGAUGAACACUUUGACAUUGAUUCACUUUUGUUGAUUGAAUUUAGCCAGUUGCACUACCGGAUUUUGUUUCUUGAGUUGACCCGAAUUAGCAGAGCUUUAUAUCACUUCCAAAGAUCCAUUUGAUGGUAGCAUCAUCUCCUGUGAUAAUCCUAUAUAUCAUUUCUUCUCUUUUAGUUUCCACUAAUCUCCAAUCUUCUCGCUAAUCCUGAUCAACGUCGAGCCCAAUUCAAAUGAUUCGACACCAAAAAAUGAAUCGCUAAUACAGACCUCUCAUGACACAGAACCGUCUUUAACCAUCAUCGCGUGGAUCUGCUUGCCGCCGACCAGUCACUCUAGAAGAACCGUUUCUUCUCCUUAAUUGUCGCAAAUGUUCCACUGGUCUAAAGACUACUAUCUGUCUCCUAACUAUUCAUUGUGGCAAGGAGGUGCAUAUCUCGUUCUUGUAAUCCAUGGAAGAGGUGGAUGUUAACUCGAAUGGCUGUGUUAAAGUUGAAGCUUUGUGAUGAGGGGAAUCAAAGGAUCGAAGAGGACGGUGGCUGCUGUAUGCUAGGGUUGAGUUGACUCACAAACAAUAUAUAUUAGCCCAAAUGGAUUUGGACGAUAAAGAUCAUAAACCCCAUGAGUAAAAAAAAUAACUGACACUGGUUGAUUCCUGGGAAGUUAGGAAGAAGAUGAAUCAUCUGGAUCGAAAACCCUCCUUCGAUAUCGCAGCCGCACAGAGAAAAAAAAAAGAUGAAACAAAAGAAUAAAAAAAGAUACGUUUUGAUUAUACUGGUUUACACUCUAAAAAUAGGCUUUAUGAAGUAAGUUAAUGCCCAUGAACAUAAUCGUAAGCCCAAACGAAAUCCACACAGAAUAAAUGAAACGCAGCGUGUGAAGUCUUAGGUGACACGUGUCGACUCCUCAUGAAGCGACUUUCUGACCUGGAAUCUGAUGUGGCUUCACCAGAAGUGAGCAAACUAUACUUUAUAUAUAAAGAUUGCCAUAGAAAAUGUGACCAAAUUUUUUUAUUUUUUAUUUUUUAUUUUUUAUUUUUUAUUUUUGAGAAUGAAUGUAUGUUUAGAUCUUGUAAUGAAGGUGUGAUGGAGUGGAUUUGAACCCCUUUUUUUUUCUUUUGUAUACUAUUUCCUUAAUUCUUUCUGUAUGUCUUUAUCUCAUACUAUCAUAGGUUGAGAUCCCUAGUUCAUUAUGCCAGCAUACAUGAUUUAUGUAACAUACUUAUAAAAAAACGAUUCACGUAACAUUAAGCAUAUAUAUAUUGCAAUAACACUUAUAUUGCAAUAACACUCUUAUUAUUAAUUUAGAAAUAUUGGUUGGAAAGAAAAAGAAAUAUACAAAUACAAGAGGAUAAAACAAUAUUAAAAUAUUGAAAUAAAAAUAAUUUAUGGCAUGUUGUACAAGAACCACGCCGAGGUUUUAGGAAAAGUCAGAGAUGCCAAAUUAUUAGUCUCAAUUUUAAUAACAUAAUAUUAAAUGAUAUGAGCCACCAAUAAGAUAUUUAAAUGCAGUCAGCCAAUAAUAUAUAAAUAUAGUUUGCCAAAUUGUGGCUAUAAUUCUGUUAAAUGGAAUAUUGUAGCCACAUUGCUUAACGCAGCAAUACAUUUCUAUGUAUUCAACCAAUAGUGAAGCAGCAAUACAUUUCAAUGUAUUCAACCAAUAUCAAAUCCAAAGUAGGAAAAUUAUAGCUUUCCUUGUCAAAACAAUUAGAUAGUUGGUGUAUAUCAAAAUAUUUAUUGAAACUUAUCAAAUUAUUCCUUAAUGUAACGGGUACUUUCUAUAACUUGUUUUUUUUUGUUAAACACUUUAUAUAACUUCUACAACAAUUAAUUAAUCAUAACGUUUGCGACUUUGGUUCCAUCUUUGAUCCGAUUAUGUAAGCCAGCUUUUGUUUUCAAAUGUCUGUUUAAAUUACACCGUAUGGUGUUUGUGAGCAGUUUUCUUAUAUGAGUAUAUUUCUUCAAAUGACAAAAAACUCCUAUUUGAACCCAAAAAAACGUUUUCCUAUGGAAAAGAAAGAGUUAUUUUUGAGUUAUUUUUGGAAAAAAAACCUAUAGGUUCACCGUCCAAUAGGAUUUCAUUAUUUUAAAUUCGAUAUGUUUUUAAAAAAACAAAAUAUUGUCAAGUUAUAUUAUGUUUUUAAAAUAAAAAAUUU